rnacentral:rRNA from 1 species
GGGCCCGCACAAGCGGUGGAGCAUGUGGUUUAAUUCGACGCAACGCGAAGAACCUUACCAGGGAUUGACAUCCCCUGACCGGAUAUGAAAGUAUCCUUUUCUCUUCGGAGGACAGGGAGACAGGUGGUGCAUGGUUGUCGUCAGCUCGUGUCGUGAGAUGUUGGGUUAAGUCCCGCAACGAGCGCAACCCCUACAUUUAGUUGCUAACGGUUCGGCCGAGCACUCUAGACGAACUGCCGUUGAUAAAACGGAGGAAGGUGGGGAUGACGUCAAAUCAUCAUGCCCCUUAUACCCUGGGCUACACACGUGCUACAAUGGUUCGUACAGAGGGCAGCGACCCGGUGACGGGAAGCGAAUCCCUUAAAGCGGAUCUCAGUUCGGAUUGCAGGCUGCAACCCGCCUGCAUGAAGUCGGAAUCGCUAGUAAUCGCAGGUCAGCAUACUGCGGUGAAUACGUUCCCGGGCCUU